rnacentral:rRNA from 1 species
UACGAAGGGGGCUAGCGUUGCUCGGAAUCACUGGGCGCAAAGGGUGCGUAGGCGGGUCUUUAAGUCAGGGGUGAAAUCCUGGAGCUCAACUCCAGAACUGCCUUUGAUACUGAAGAUCUUGAGUCCGGGAGAGGUGAGUGGAACUGCGAGUGUAGAGGUGAAAUUCGUAGAUAUUCGCAAGAACACCAGUGGCGAAGGCGGCUCACUGGCCCGGUACUGACGCUGAGGCACGAAAGCGUGGGGAGCAAACAGG